GGGCAGGCCCCGCUGCUCUCGACGCGAAUGAUAUACGUCACCCUCACUCUGGGUGGAACGCCCAGGGCUGAACAUGUCGGACUGCUCUGACAGGUGCUGGCAGGUAGAAGUGGCCCCAAGCCAAGGCUAAUGCUGUUCUUCUAUAGUUCCAAUGCUGGCUCCCUCCCAGGUCUAUGGGUCUCAGAGGGAGUUCCACCACUAUGGCGGAGAAGGUCAGACUGGAUAUGUACGGGUAGUAUUUUAAGGUUGUGUUUUUCUACAAAACACUGUUGCUUUCUCUAUUGAGGUCUUCGCUUCAUCUCCGCUGCUGAGGAGGCUGCAGUCUCCCCUCCCCCCCAACCAACCCGAUCCUCACAGAGGAAACGUCUUCCUUUCCAUAGUCAGAUGUGUGCACUGCUCGUGGACUGUGUUCUCAUUACAGGGACCGUGGGAAAGGGAUGGGGGUGAGGGUUCUCACUUAAAGAUGCCACGGGUCACUGGACAGUAGACUGUCACAACUCAUUGGAUGUCCUGUAUCGAACAACCGCCAAAUUAUUAUUUUUCCCAUUACCUAGCCUAGUUGAAGCUCAUUUUGUUUGGAAAAUAUCAACCAAGUGCUUCAGUUUCAAACACAUGAGCAUACUGCCAAAUGCCAUAAUCAAGAUUUAGAGGUAUGGAUGUGUGUGGAGAUAGGCUCCACCCUCCCCACAAAGUCACAUUUGAAUACAGUUGAGAACAUUCUCUUUUUCUUUGUUAGCACUUUAUCCAGCAGAAAGGUAUGAUUGUUGUUCUUGCUGUGUUUCAGUUUAUAAAUUAUGUUAAAACACCUUUUACAGAAUAGGAAUGUUAUUUACCCAAAACAGAAACAUCCAGAAAAUAGCAGCCAACAGUUCUAAUGCAAAUGAUGGAGGCCUUAACACUGAAGAGCAUUGUGAGGAAUAACUGUUUGACGUUGGAAAUGUUUUAUUGAGUAACUCUUUUUAUUCUAAAUUUAUUUUAUUUUGUCAAUUUUUUUUACUUUUCCCCUCCUACCUUCCACCUCGGAAUGACCCAAAAUAUGGCCUACGAGUAUAUAAUUAUUUUUAUGUUUUUUUAAUUUUGAUUUUCCUAUUGAGCUUUCUUUAUUGGUUCUUCAGGAAAGACUAAACUUCGGUUAAAAUGUACAUUCCAUACACUGUAUAUUCGUAGGCCUAUUUGAAUAGUGGAAAUCCCAGAAGAUUUGCAUAACUGGUGGGAAAGAUAUGAUGUGUACACAUACUCUCUAACUGUCCCUGGGCAACUGCAGAUUUCCGAUACCAUGUAAAGCAGACCUGUUGAGAGCUGUUAGUGAACUAUAGACCAGUGUUUAGAAAAUGAUGGCAUGUGUUUAUUUGCAUUAAUCUUAGAUAGUUCAAAAAAAGAAUGAGCGUACACAUAACAGGUUUGAAAACCAUUGCUUUAGCCUCCUCAAGUUCUGAGCUUUUCUCUGAGCAGAUGAGUGCUACGAUGAGCAUUAAUUAUAUGUUUUGCUUCGCAUACUUUUGCAAACACAGUUGAGCUAAUAUAUGGUAAGAGAGCUGAGGCAAUUGUGCUCCUCUCUAGAGCAUUCCAAAGACUGAGGUCAACUUAUCAAUCGAAACAACACAUGGUGCUUCCCCAUCCAAUAAUGCACAUUCAGGUGAAACUAAUUUUAACAGUGGCUCAAAGAGUCUGACCCAAUCACAUGCCCCUCUAGGUUGUAUCAGCACAUUAAAAAGAUAACACAACCUCAUAGUUUGGUAGUGAUUACUUCUCGGUCUGUACUCGGUCUGUCCAAUUAUGACAUUUCCUUUUUUGCUCACCCAACUUUGAUUAAUUUUUUCGGCUCAAUUUAAUAAAAGGUAGUAAAUCCAUGGCAAUUUCAUACUGUCCCUUUGACCGCAGUUGUGCCAUUGAGCACUCUAGGGGUUAAACAUUUCCUGUAUUUACCCUGGUGUAUUCAUCAUCAGAAUCAUCAGAACUUUAGAGUGACCACUCCCAUCUUAUUCUUGCGAUGUUCAGUCCAUGAUACCCAUUUUAAAAAAAUGAGUAAAUAAAAGAAAAAAAUGCA